rnacentral:tRNA from 1 species
CACUAAGAAGCUAAAUUAGGUUCAGCGUUAGCCUUUUAAGCUAAAAACUGGUGAUUCCUACCACCCUUAGUGA